GAGUUUGAUCGUGGCUCAGAUUGAACGCUGGCGGCAUGCCUUACACAUGCAAGUCGAACGGUAACAGGUCUUCGGAUGCUGACGAGUGGCGAACGGGUGAGUAAUACAUCGGAACGUGCCCGAUCGUGGGGGGAUAACGAAGCGAAAGCUUUGCUAAUACCGCAUACGAUCUACGGAUGAAAGCAGGGGACCGCAAGGCCUUGCGCGAACGGAGCGGCCGAUGGCAGAUUAGGUAGUUGGUGGGAUAAAAGCUUACCAAGCCGACGAUCUGUAGCUGGUCUGAGAGGACGACCAGCCACACUGGGACUGAGGCACGGCCCAGACUCCUACGGGAGGCAGCAGUGGGGAAUUUUGGACAAUGGGCGAAAGCCUGAUCCAGCCAUGCCGCGUGCAGGAUGAAGGCCUCGGUU
rnacentral:rRNA from 1 species